GCAUAGGCAAACUCCGGCUCUCCAGAUGUUUGGGACUAACAGGACCAGUGGUCAAGGAUGAUGGGAAUGAAUUGUAGUCCCAAACAUCUGGAGGGCUGGAGUUUGCCUAUGU